ACGAACGCUGGCGGCGUGCCUAAUCCAUGCAAGUAGAACGCACAGUUUAUACCGUAGCUUGCUACACCAUAAACUGUGAGUUGCGAACGGGUGAGUAACGCGUAGGUAACCUGCCUGGUAGCGGGGGAUAACUAUUGGAAACGAUAGCUAAUACCGCAUAAUAUUGAUUAUUGCAUGAUAAUUGAUUGAAAGAUGCUAUUGCAUCACUACCAGAUGGACCUGCGUUGUAUUAGCCAGUAGGUGAGGUAACGGCUCACCUAGGCGACGAUACAUAGCCGACCUGAGAGGGUGAUCGGCCACACUGGGACUGAGACACGGCCCAGACUCCUACGGGAGGCAGCAGUAGGGAAUCUUCGGCAAUGGACGAAAGUCUGACCGAGCAACGCCGCGUGAGUGAAGAAGGUUUUCGGAUCGUAAAGCUCUGUUGUAAGAGAAGAACGGGUGUGAGAGUGGAAAGUUCACACUGUGACGGUAUCUUACCAGAAAGGGACGGCUAACUACGUG
rnacentral:rRNA from 1 species